GCCGUGCUCUCAUUACUGUCAGUGGGAAGCAUUAAGCUGGGUUAUACUUAGCUACGUCCCCUCCAAGCAACUUCCUGUGGAUGAUGGGAGUGCCAGGGAGGACGCGUUCCUGAAAUAAUGACACAAGCUUUAAGGGAGACCAGGCCGCUGGACCAUGCAGUUGUCACCCUGCUCUGGCUGGAGAAAGAGGGGACAAGGGUGCUCACACGCGUGUGUCUGUCUGGAGGCGCUUGGAGGUCAGUGGGAGGACAGAGACUACACAGGAAGGAAAUAUUUGGAGCAAAACCUGGUGAAGGGAGUUGGGGUGCUCUGAUUCUGAGAAAACACCAAAAUCAAAUCUGAAAACAUCUGUCUGCUGCUACACAGCUGCAAGAGGAAAACUACAGCUGGGUGCAGAUAUCUGCUCUGAAAUUGCAUCUGAUCACUGAUAGAUGAUUUCCCUCGAAACAAUCACAAAGUAGCCACCAAAUUUUGACCCACAGCUCAGUGUGGUACAAGAAAAAACAAAACCACUCUUCAACAUAAAUCCUAUCUCCAAAUCUCCGGAGAAAUGAAAUUGGGUCCUGCUCUAUAGUCCAGGUGGGCCUUGAACCCACUGUGUAGCCCAGGCUGACCUCAGACUCAAGGUAAUCCUCCUGCCUCAGCUUCCCGAGGGAUGAGAUUGCAGGCAUGUGUCACCAAGCCCAACUUUUUCUUAUACUGUAUGUUUUAUGUCAAAAACCAAGCAAAGAAAUUUCUUUUACUUAAUCACUUACAAUAAAAUCCAA